UGGUUCCAUUUACCUCUCGAAAAUGCAAAAUGCUAAGGGUGUGUUUCCUUGAUGAGCUUCAGAUGAAAAAUAUGCUUUUGGUUUUCUUAAGGGAUGCUGAUGUGCGAGCAAUUAUAACAUGAUCCUUCUUUUUUUUAUGUCUACAGACAACAGUGUCAUGUGAAAUCAUCGUAAACACAUACAAUCUGACAGUUACUCACCAAAAUUGCUACCCGGAGUGAUGAAGAGAUUGGCUCUGCACAGGUAUGAGGACUUAGAGAGCAAGGCAAUUUCUCCAGCAUCUAAGAUCACCAAAUAGAAGCGAACCAUGUAAAUAUUCCAACUAUACUAUCUUCAUGUAUGUACAUGAUUCUGUCAUGAUGCACGGCUUAAGGAUUCAAAGAUACCAAAGGUAGAAGCAUUUAAAGUUUCGGGAAAAAGCUGCAAUAAUUUCCUCUUGAGACAGGAUGAAAUUGUUGAAACAAUUCAACCUAACCCAUCUCUAGGUAACCUUGAACUUGCUGAAAAAUGUUUCGGGCCACAACGGCAUGGAAUUGUUUAUGGUUAUGGAGGUGGUGUGAAACGGAAAACAUAUCACGACUGGAAAUCUUCUUACACCAAGGAACUCGAGGAAAAACUUUCUGCAAAAGAUGAAGAAAAAAUCGUCUGCUUAGGAAACGAGUGGAUAGACUUGAAGAAAGGUUCGAUCAAUGGGAGAGAAGUGGUUUACCAUCAGAACAAAGCCCACAUUUUUGCUGGUAUAACUUGUUGAUUCUUAAUAUAUUCUUGUGAAAGCCAAUAGUUCUCUCAGUUCAUUGCUUUUGUCUAGUUAAUUAUUAACUUAAAUUCUCUUUUCGCAGAAUAAAUUUCUUCAUUUGCCAUCCAAGUGUAACAGAGUAACUCUUAGACAGGUUUUACUUUUCUACUAUCCAUUUAUGUCGUUGAAACCUUGAUCGAAGCUUGGGAAACAGGAAAAGAAAAAACGAAGUGAUAUCUUAGCUUGAGAUAGAGAUCUUCAUUCUGCUGGCUAAUAUGUAGGCUUAAUAAAUGUUUUAUUUUCCUGAAGUAGACCCUGUGUAGUUGGAAUCUGUUUAUAUUCUUAACAAGUGAUAUCUUUCACGUUCACUUUUGUAUAUCCAACAUCUAGUUUUGUAUAUUUCAACUAAUUGAAAGCUGCAAAAUCAAAGUGAAUAAUAAAAUUUAUGUUUUGUAUAUCCAA